rnacentral:rRNA from 1 species
UCAAACUGUUUCCUAAAUAUAUGUAAAAAUUAUUCUUCAGGUGAAGAAACCUGAAUUCUAUUAAAAGACAAGAAGACCCUGUAGAGCUUUACCUAAACAGCCAUAGAAAAAAAACGACAGUAUUUUUUUCUAUGAGACAUACAUGGUUUAACUGGGGCGGUUAGAGAACAGUAAACUUCUACCUAAAAAAUAAGGUAAACACACCAACUAAAUUAAAUAAAUCUAAAUUUAAAGAAAUAAGCUACCUCAGGGAUAACAGACUAAUCCUUCCUGAGAGUACCCAUUGAAGGAAGGGGUUGGCACCUCGAUGUUGGCUUAGGGCAUCCCAGGGGUAGUAGCAGCCCCUAAAGGUAGGUUUGUUCAACCUUUAAAGCCCU